AAAUUGAAGAGUUUGAUCAUGGCUCAGAUUGAACGCUGGCGGCAGGCCUAACACAUGCAAGUCGAGCGGAAACGAGUUAUCUGAACCUUCGGGGAACGAUAACGGCGUCGAGCGGCGGACGGGUGAGUAAUGCCUAGGAAAUUGCCCUGAUGUGGGGGAUAACCAUUGGAAACGAUGGCUAAUACCGCAUGAUGCCUACGGGCCAAAGAGGGGGACCUUCGGGCCUCUCGCGUCAGGAUAUGCCUAGGUGGGAUUAGCUAGUUGGUGAGGUAAGGGCUCACCAAGGCGACGAUCCCUAGCUGGUCUGAGAGGAUGAUCAGCCACACUGGAACUGAGACACGGUCCAGACUCCUACGGGAGGCAGCAGUGGGGAAUAUUGCACAAUGGGCGCAAGCCUGAUGCAGCCAUGCCGCGUGUGUGAAGAAGGCCUUCGGGUUGUAAAGCACUUUCAGUCGUGAGGAAGGUGGUAGUGUUAAUAGCACUAUCAUUUGACGUUAGCGACAGAAGAAGCACCGGCUAACUCCGUGCCAGCAGCCGCGGUAAUACGGAGGGUGCGAGCGUUAAUCGGAAUUACUGGGCGUAAAGCGCAUGCAGGUGGUUUGUUAAGUCAGAUG
rnacentral:rRNA from 1 species